rnacentral:sRNA from 1 species
UAUACCAGAUGUAUUCAUUGAGGGUUCA